CCUACGGGGUGCAGCAGUGGGGAAUAUUGCACAAUGGGGGAAACCCUGAUGCAGCAACGCCGCGUGAAGGAAGACGGUUUUCGGAUUGUAAACUUCUGUUCUUAGUGAAGAAUAAUGACGGUACCUGUCGAAUAAGCCACGGCUAACUACGUGCCAGCAGCCGCGGUAAUACGUAGGUGGCAAGCGUUGUCCGGAUUUACUGGGUGUAAAGGGCGUGUAGCCGGGUUGACAAGUCAGAUGUGAAAUCCUGCGGCUUAACCGCAGAACUGCAUUUGAAACUGUUGAUCUUGAGUACUGGAGAGGCAGACGGAAUUCCUAGUGUAGCGGUGAAAUGCGUAGAUAUUAGGAGGAACACCAGUGGCGAAGGCGGUCUGCUGGACAGCAACUGACGGUGAGGCGCGAAAGCGUGGGGAGCAAACAGGAUUAGAUACCCCUGUAGUC
rnacentral:rRNA from 1 species